GCUUGUCCCGAGAAAGCCAAGCCGCGCGGCGCGUUUGCCCGGGAACUGCAGGCGCUCCAGUUCCGGGUCAGGCCUCAGCCAUGGCGAGUGGUAGCAGCUCGGGGGCCAUGUCCUCGGCCAAUCUGAACGCGGUGAGGGAGACCAUGGACGUUCUGCUUGAGAUUUCAAGAAUUUUGAAUACUGGUUUAGAUAUGGAAACUCUGUCUAUUUGUGUACGGCUUUGUGAACAAGGAAUUAACCCAGAAGCUUUGUCAUCUGUUAUUAAGGAACUUCGAAAGGCUACUGAAGCACUAAAGGUGUCCUGUACUGUCACUAAUACCCUAGUUCAUCUGUGAUGUGAAAGGCCUGCAGCUUGAGGAUGCUGGGGGAGCAGAAUUUGAACUUAGAAAGGAAUAGAGAACUAAAUGAUUUUCAUCUCCCAAUCCCCUCACCCAAGGAAAGGAAAUAAUCACUUUCACUGAAAAGAGAAGUUUGGAAGAGAAGAGGACUACCAAAUGUUGAUUUUUCUCAGGGCUUUCCUUUCAAAUUUUGGGGGGUUUAGUGGUGAUCUGAUACAAGUCUCCAGAAUGUUAUUGUUACCCUUCCAGAUAGAAAGUUCUACAUUUUUAUAGUGAUGAUACAUUACUUACAGUGAAAAUGCUUGUUUCGUUGUCUGUCUGGUAGAGAACCUCUGCAGUGAUACAAAAGCUGCUGAAAAUACGACAAGCUGACUUUCUGCAGAAGUCCUGAUGAGAUGUGUCAAGUUCUGCAGGGAAGAUUGCAUUGUAGUCAAGGAUGUAUACUGAAAUAACUACUUGCAGUGUAGAAAAUGUUGCUGAAAAGAAAAUUUUUGAAAAGACUUAAAAAACCAUAGCUUUACAGAUCAGCACAAAGUAGCUUAAGAGAGGACUAUCAGUUAUAUUACAUUGAAUCCCAGUUUUUUGUUAAUGGCCCCAGUAAGCUUUGACAUUGCUGUGUUCUCAUUUAUGUAUUCCUUAUUUAUAGCUCUGAUAGCUUUAAUUUUCUGAGCAGUCUUGUCUAUCUGAUAGGCACAUCUGCUGUGCAUGGUUGAAGUUAGUGGAACCCAUCAGGAGAGAUGUAUAGUAGUUAUGACUUGUUGACAUUUCCAUUAUAAACGUUAAUUUUAAAUUAUUUAUGAAUAACUAUGGAUUUAUGUUGCAUUGGGCUGAAAGUUGACAGGAUUCAGCUGCCAUUUGUGAAUUUUUAUUUAGAUUCCCAUUGUGUUUCUAAUCUCAACAGAGGCUGUUUAGUUUUGUAAGCAGUUUUGGGGCAGUUAAAAGUAUAAAACGGAUCAUUUUUGUAUUGACUAAAAAUUAAAACUUCUAGAAACUUAGAUUUUAAAAGUCAUGUUAGGGCUUAGCUUAGUAUUAUUUGUAGUUUGAACUUUUAAAAUCUAAUAUUAUUUUCCUUCCUAAAUUUUAUACCCUAUAAAGGCCUAAAAAAUUAUGUAUAAAAUGAAACAGCCAACCUGCAAAAUUCCUUUUUACUUUUCUUACAUGAAAGAAAUGGGUAAUGAUUACGGAAUAAAUCUUGAGUGGCUAUUUAAUCAUCGCAUAGGUAGUGUGUUUCAACAGAUUCAUAAUAGCUUCUGAAGAAGUAAGGAUUUUUACCUAUUAAAAACUAAUGAAAUGUGUAUCAGGAAUUUUAAGUAUGACUUUCCAGAAUAAUUUUAUAUGUCAUUAUUUUUACCAUUAACAUUUUAACUCUUUAACAUGAUGAUUCAAAAAUAAAUUCAAGAAAAUUUUCCAUAGCUCAUUGGUUCAGUUUUUAUUACAGAAUCUCAGUAAAAUUUUCUUUUUGUAAGGCUAAUAUGGAUUUAAUCUGAUUUUAUUGUUUCUUAAAUUUUAACUUUGUCUGAUGCCAUUUAAAUAACAGUAUAAGCAUUCACUCUUCUGUAGUAUUAUUUGUUCACACAAGCUGAAAUGUUUUAUAAGAUGUAAUAAUAUUCAAAUAGCCACCUUCUCUGCUGUUUUUAAAGCAAUCUCAGCUGUUGAUCAGUAAUCCCUGCCACUCAGGAAGCUGAGGUAGAAGAAUCAUGAGUUCAAGGCCAGCUUGGGCUAUAUAGGCAACACAGUGAGACCCUAUCUCAAAAGGAAAUCUUGACUUUUGGCUAUUUUGAUUUUUUUAAUGCCAUCAUCUUUACCCAGUAAUGUCUUUGGCAGAACAAGCGGGGAGACAGUAAGCGCUCAUAAUAAGCAUUUGACCGGUGGUAAGCAGUGCGCAUAUUGCAUGAUAUUUAUAAAAUCAAAGGCAGUACUUCUCUCAAACUUCAAAAUUUGUACAUUUAGAGUUAGUAGUUUUAUUUAUGAUUUUGUAGAUUCAGUUACUUAUGGAUGAAACAUAGUAGGGAAAUAUGUUGAGAAAGGGUUAUGUUUACAGAAGACUGCUUUAUUGUGUCACAUUUCUUAAAUGUAAACAUAUUUUUAAUUAAUACUAAAGUAAUAUUUAAGAAACUAGUGGUACAAUUACAGUAUCAUGCAUGUUGUCAAUGACAAAAAUAAAAUCAUGUUGCUGUUA